rnacentral:lncRNA from 1 species
AAAUCUGCAGCGAGAUCUUUAGGAUCUAAAAGACGUUUCUCGACAGGUCUAUCGCGUGGAGAUAUGUUGGUGGCAUCGAAGAUCGAGGCAACAGUAGGUGUAUGCCAUGCAAAUGGGUGUGAUGUAACUAAGGGAGGGGUGAGAAGCCAGGUGACCGUUGAGGGAUUAAUGGCGUAGUUUUCUAGGUUGAGACAAAAGCUUCCACUUGAUAAACUUUGUUGUGAAGUGUGAGUUCCUUGGCUGGUGGAGCGUGGAAUCUGACUAUCGAUGUUGUUGUGGUAGGGGUUGGUGGUCUCCCGGUCAUUCUCUAUCAAUGGCGGACUCCCCUAUUUCU